GAUGAACGCUGGCGGCGUGCCUAAUACAUGCAAGUCGAGCGAACAGACGAGGAGCUUGCUCCUUUGACGUUAGCGGCGGACGGGUGAGUAACACGUGGAUAACCUACCUAUAAGACUGGGAUAAUUUCGGGAAACCGGAGCUACUACCGGAUAAUAUAUUGAACCGCAUGGUUCAAUAGUGAAAGACGGUUUUGCUGUCACUUAUAGAUGGAUCCGCGCCGCAUUAGCUAGUUGGUAAGGUAACGGCUUACCAAGGCAACGAUGCGUAGCUGACCUGAGAGGGUGAUCGGCCACACUGGAACUGAGACACGGUCCAGACUCCUACGGGAGGCAGCAGUAGGGAAUCUUCCGCAAUGGGCGAAAGCCUGACGGAGCAACGCCGCGUGAGUGAUGAAGGUCUUCGGAUCGUAAAACUCUGUUAUUAGGGAAGAACAAAUGUGUAAGUAACUAUGCACGUCUUGACGGUACCUAAUCAGAAAGCCACGGCUAACUACGUG
rnacentral:rRNA from 1 species